GAUGAACGCUGGCGGCGUGCCUAAUACAUGCAAGUCGAGCGAACAGACGAGGAGCUUGCUCCUCUGACGUUAGCGGCGGACGGGUGAGUAACACGUGGAUAACCUACCUAUAAGACUGGUAUAACUUCGGGAAACCGGAGCUAAUACCGGAUAAUAUAUUGCACCGCAUGGUUCAAUAGUGAAAGACGGUUUUGCUGUCACUUAUAGAUGGAUCCGCGCCGCAUUAGCUAGUUGGUAAGGUAACGGCUUACGAAGGCAACGAUGCGUAGCCGACCUGUGAGGGUGAUCGGCCACCCUGGAACUGAGACACGGUCAAGACUCCUACGGGAGGCAGCAGUAGGGAAUCGUCCGCAAUGGGCGAAAGCCUGACGGAGCAACGCCGAGUGAGUGAUGAAGGUCUUCGGAUCGUAAAACUCUGUUAUUAGGGAAGAACAAAUGUGUAAGUAACUAUGCACGUCUUGACGGUACCUAAUAAGAAAGCCACGGCUAACUACGUG
rnacentral:rRNA from 1 species